CCUACGGGGCGCAGCAGUGGGGGAUAUUGCACAAUGGGGGAAACCCUGAUGCAGCGACGCCGCGUGAGGGAAGAAGGUACAGCGUAUCGUAAACCUCUUUUGUCAGGGAACAAAGGCGGGGACUAGUCCCCGGAUGAGGGUACCUGAAGAAAAAGCAUCGGCUAACUCCGUGCCAGCAGCCGCGGUAAUACGGAGGAUGCGAGCGUUAUCCGGAUUUAUUGGGUUUAAAGGGUGCGCAGGCGGCCUGUUAAGUCAGCGGUAAAAGCCCGGGGCUCAACCCCGGCGAGACGUUGAAACUGGCGGGG
rnacentral:rRNA from 1 species